rfam:Pestalotiopsis fici W106-1 unplaced genomic scaffold PFICI_Scf_6, whole genome shotgun sequence.
GGUCGGUUAGUGUAGUUGGUUAUCACAUCGGAUUCUGAUUUUCAGAUUGUAUCUGGCUUCAAUCGAGUUUUCCGGUAACCGGGGUUCGAAUCCCCGACUGACCU